rnacentral:rRNA from 1 species
UGAGGAAUAUUGGUCAAUGGGCGGAAGCCUGAACCAGCCAUGCCGCGUGCAGGACGACGGCCCUACGGGUUGUAAACUGCUUUUCCGGGGGAAGAAUAAGGGCGACGUGUCGCCCGAUGCCGGUACCCCGGGAAUAAGGAUCGGCUAACUCCGUGCCAGCAGCCGCGGUAAUACGGAGGAUCCGAGCGUUAUCCGGAGUUACUGGGUUUAAAGGGUGCGUAGGCGGGCCCCUCAGUCAGCGGUGAAAGUCUGCGGCUCAACCGUAGGAUUGCCGUGGAUACUGGGGGCCUUGAGUUCGGUCGGGGCGGGCGGAAUGCGUGGUGUAGCGGUGAAAUGCUUAGAUAUCGCGCAGAACGCCGAUUGCGAAGGCAGCUCGCCGGGCCGAUAUCGACGCUGAGGCACGAAAGCGUGGGGAUCGAACA